GAAUUAGAUUCAGGCCUAACACAUGCAAGUCGAACGGUAACAGGUUAAGCUGACGAGUGAAGAAAGGGUGAGUAAUGCAUUGAGACGUUCCCGAUGGUGGGGGAUAUCGCAGCGAAAGCUGCGCUAAUGCGGCAUGUGAUCUGAGGAUGAAAGCGGGGGACCGUAAGUCCUUGGGCGAUCGGAGCGGCCGAUGUCAGAGUAGGUAGUUGGUGGGGUAAAGGCUCACCAAGCCAAUGAUCUGUAGCUGGUCUGAGAGGACGACCAUCCACACUGGUAAUGAGACGCGGGUCAGACUCCUACGGGAGGCAGCAGUGGGGAAUUUUGGACAAUGGGGGAAAGCCUGAUCCAGCAAGGCCGCGUGCAGGAAGAAGGCCUUCGGGUUGUAUUCUGAAGGGUACGGAGCGAAAAGGCCCUCUCUAAUACAGGGGGCUCAUGACGG
rnacentral:rRNA from 1 species